GGGCCGCAGCCGGCCGUCUCCGCCCCCAGCCAGCCGUCCUCCCGGCUUCCCCGGGCGCAGGUCAGGACAUCGGGAGAAGAGCAGGAAGAGCAGCAACAAGAGGUCCGGCCUGAGAGUCUCAGUGCGCAUGCGUGAGAGUCCGGGCGGAAAAGUGUUGGUGGAGACCGAGAGUGACUUUACCUUGAAAAGGAGGGCGGAGGAAGCCCAGCAACCCGGGUGAUUGGCACUGUGGCUCUACGUGCCCGCCCCUUGGGAGGAUGCCAUGGAAACAGGAUCCUCGCUCCGCUUUCCCCUGAGCACCCCUCCUCCCCACCCCUCCGCCCCCAUACCCUGCAAAUACGUUUGAAUGGAUUUGUGUGUAUGAAAGAUCCCAGCCUCGAAAAUACGUAGGCAUGAGAGGUGGGAGGGCUUGCCCUACCAGACAUUAAAGGUUAUUAUCAGCUAUAAACUAUAGCAAUUAAGAUAGUGUGGUCCUGGUGCAGGAGAGACAAACAUGCCAAUGGCACAUAAGGCGGUGGGCCGGAUACAGCCCCACACGUAUUUGGACAAAUGAUUCAGGACAAAGUAGCACAGCAGAGCAGGAGAGGAAAGAAUCUACUUUUCAAAAAAUUAUUCUGGGAGAAUUGGGUGUCCAAAUGGAAAAGUAUGAUAUCAGAUUCCUCCCAACUUACACUAAAGACAGAAAUACAUUCCAUGUGAAUCAUAGACCUUAACGGGAAGGGAAAAGCAAUAAAGCUUUUGGAAGAGGACAUAAGAGAAUAUCUUUAUGACCUCAGGGUAGGGAAAGUCCUCUUAAACAAGACACAAAAAGUUCUAAAAGCUUAGUCUACAUCACUAUAUUAAUAUGAUAUUCUGUUCUUCAUAUAAAAAAAAACCCAGUAAGAAAGUGAAAAGACAAGCCUCAGAAUAAGAAAAGAUAUUUGUAAUGCAUGACUGGCAAAGAACUUGUAAUAAUCAGUAAGAAUAUAAAAUUAAAAUUUUUAAAAAAUCAGUAAGAAUAAAGACAACCUACUAGAAAAAUAGCAAAUACUUGAACUGGCACUGCACAAAAAAAGGAAAUCCCAAAUAACUGACAUAGGGUCACCUGACUUGGCUCAGUGGAUAGAGCAUGCAACUCUUGACCUUGAGGUUGUGAGUUCAAGUCCCAAGUUGGGUGUAGAGAUUAC